rnacentral:lncRNA from 1 species
UAUAUGUAUAAAAUGUGUAUUUUUAGUUUAGAUCUUACUGAUGGAAGCACGAGGAAGAAGUGCAUUAAUGAAAACAUUAAAAAAAUAAAAAUUUAAACCUAAUUGUUCUACUCAUGAACUAACACCUAUCUAAGCUAUUCACAUCUCCUCUUGCUCUCCAGCAGUUUUCUCAAGUGUUAUCCAGAAAGCUCCAUCUCAUGCAACUCUGCUUCCUCCUUCUCUUUGUUGAAUUGUGGCCACAAUCAGCUUCCCACAGCACUAGCACCUUAAGACACAUGGUUCUUGCAUAUGAGCAAUCUCAGAUGCAGACCCAGCAUACAUUAUUACAUUCAUUACCCAGCACAAAGCUUUCUCGCAUCUGUCUUUAACUGGCAUUUCUGUAUAACAACGCAAAAUGAAAUAAAUCACUUAGCAGUCCCCAAAGCACGAGCCCAGCAGGAAUACAUAGACAUCUCAUGGACCUCUAGCCUGACCUUGGGAAUGGAGGGAUGGAGACCAAUUAUGGGACAACUGUGUCAAGAUCAAGAGGUCUUCAGGAGCAAUGGAAGCCACAAUGAGCUGCUUCUGCAGUGCCACUGGCUGAAGCCAGCACAGGAGCAGUGCCAGUUGGCAUCCCGUUCUGCCUGA